rnacentral:rRNA from 1 species
GGAGCUUGCGGUUUAAUUGGAUUCAACGCCGGAAUCUUACCGGGACCGACAGCAAUAUGAAGGCCAGGCUGAAGACUUUGCCGGAUUAGCUGAGAGGUGGUGCAUGGCCGUCGUCAGUUCGUACUGUGAAGCAUCCUGUUAAGUCAGGCAACGAGCGAGACCCACGCCCACAGUUGCCAGCGUACUCUCUGGAGUGACGGGUACACUGUGGGGACCGCCGCUGCUAAAGCGGAGGAAGGAAUGGGCAACGGUAGGUCAGUAUGCCCCGAAUAUCCCGGGCUACACGCGAGCUACAAUGGUUGGUACAAUGGGUAUCUACCCCGAAAGGGGACGGGAAUCUCCUAAAACCAAUCUUAGUUCGGAUUGUGGGCUGCAACUCGCCCACAUGAAGCUGGAAUCUGUAGUAAUCGUGUCUCAAAAUGGCACGGUGAAUAUGUCCCUGCUCCUU